rnacentral:rRNA from 1 species
CCUACGGGAGGCAGCAGUGAGGAAUAUUGGUCAAUGGCCGAGAGUCUGAACCAGCCAAGUAGCGUGAAGGAUGACUGCCCUAUGGGUUGUAAACUUCUUUUAUAAAGGAAUAAAACGAGGCACGUGUGCCUUUUUGCAUGUACUUUAUGAAUAAGGAUCGGCUAACUCCGUGCCAGCAGCCGCGGUAAUACGGAGGAUCCGAGCGUUAUCCGGAUUUAUUGGGUUUAAAGGGAGCGUAGAUGGGAUGUUAAGUCAGUUGUGAAAGUUUGGGGCUCAACCUUAAAAGUGCAAUUGAUACUGGCAGCCUUGAGUGCAGUUGAGGUAGGCGGAAUGCGUGGUGUAGCGGUGAAAUGCUUAGAUAUCACGAAGAACUCCGAUUGCGAAGGCAGCUUACUGGACUGCAACUGACGUUGAUGCUCGAAAGUGUGGGUAUCAAACAGGAUUAGAUACCCUAGUAGUC